AAAAUUUAUAUUUAUAUUUUCUACUCCUAAACUUUGAGAAAUAUUUUUAAAAAGAUACCACCUUAAUAGAAAAGAUAAAAUAAUCAAAUUAUUCUUACUUUUUAAAUAAAAAAAUAACAUUUUAAUAUAUUUUUCGUCAUUUUGACGGACAUGAGUGAUGGACCCUGACGAAAGGAGGCUAAGGCUUCAUUUGGGAUUCAUUUGGGAUUGCGGAAAGAUUGCGUAACGUAUGGUGAGAAAGUACGUUCAAAAAAUAUCAUGUUUGUUUCAGUACGUAAUAUUGCGUUCCACAAAUUGCGAUGAGUCGGUUACGACAUAUUUUCUGCGAUCCCACUGAAAAACGCAGAAGUAUAUCCCUAUAUGUUUUUUCCCCAACUCCAUUUUAUCUAAUAGCGUUAGAUAGAUCUCAAUACCAAACUAAAUCUAAAUACAACAACUUGAAUGUUAAGAAAGUAAAAUAUAAAUUGUUGAAAGUUAGAAAGAAAAAGUGUCGAGAUGGAUAUUUAUAAGGAGAUUUUUUGUAAUAUAGCUAUAUAUAUAU
rnacentral:lncRNA from 1 species